AGGUAGCGAAAUUCCUUGUCGGGUAAGUUCCGACCUGCACGAAUGGCGUAACGAUCUCCACACUGUCUCGGCCAGAGACUCGGUGAAAUUGCAGUCGCGGUGAAAAUUCCGUGUACCCGCAGAAAGACGGAAAGACCCUGUGCACCUUUACUAUAGCUUGACAUUGGAUUUUGGGCCUGCAUGUGUAGGAUAGGUGGGAGGCUGUGAACCCUGUACGCCAGUAUGGGGGGAGCCAUCGUUGAAAUACCACCCUUGCAUGUUUAAGAUCCUAACUUCUUCCGGUUAUCCCGGAGAAAGACAGUGUCUGGCGGGUAGUUUGACUGGGGCGGUCGCCUCCUAAAGUGUAACGGAGGCAUGCAAAGGUUCCCUCAGCCUGAUCGGAAACCAGGCGCUGAGUGCAAACGCAUAAGGGAGCUUGACUGUAAGAGAGACAUCUCGAACAGGAACGAAAGUUGGCGUUAGUGAUCCGGUGGUCCCGAAUGGAAGGGCCAUCGCUCAUUGGAUAAAAGGUACGCCGGGGAUAACAGGCUGAUCGCAUCCAAGAGUUCACAUCGACGAUGCGGUUUGGCACCUCGAUGUCGGCUCAUCACAUCCUGGGGCUGAAGCAGGUCCCAAGGGUACGGCUGUUCGCCGUUUAAAGUGGUACGCGAGCUGGGUUUAAAACGUCGUGAGACAGUUUGGUCCCUAUCUUCUGUGGGCGAAGGAGAAUUGAGAGGGCCUGUCCCUAGUACGAGAGGACCGGGAUGGACGCACCCCUGGUGAUCCUGUUGUCGCGCCAGCGGCACAGCAGGGUAGCUAUGUGCGGAAGGGAUAACCGCUGAAAGCAUCUAAGCGGGAAGCCUGCCUCAAGAUAAGUUCUCCCCUCGAAAGAGCUGAAGGGCCCGGGUAGACUACCCGGUCGAUAGGCUGGAGGUGUAAGCGCGGCGACGCGCUCAGCUGACCAGUACUAAUAGCCCGAGCGGCUUAUUUGU
rnacentral:rRNA from 1 species